AAAACAAUUUCGAGACAAGAGUAAAUUUAAAAAAACAUGAAAGAACACACACUGGGGAGAAACCUUACAGUUGUACAGUGUGUGGAAAACAGUUUGGAGAAAAAAUCAGUUAAAACUACAUGAAAGAAUACACACUGGGGAGAAACCAUACAGUUGCACAGACUGUGGAAAACAAUUUCGAGCCAAGAGUACUUUAAAAAAUCAUGAAAGAACACACACUGUGGAGAAACCAUACAGUUGUGAGGUGUGUGGAAAACAAUUUCGAACCAAGAGUACUUUAAAAAUCAUGAAAGAACACACUGUGGAGAAACCAUACAGUUGUAAAGUGUUUAGAUGGAAGAAUCAAUUAAAACUACAUGAAAGAAUACACACUGGGGAGAAACCA